ensembl:snRNA U4 U4 spliceosomal RNA
AGCUUUGCGCAGUGGCAGUAUCAUAGCCAAUGAGGUUUAUCCAACGCAGGAUUAUUGCUAACUGAAAACUUUUCCCAACACCCUGCAAUGACGACUUGAAAUACAGUUGGCAUUGGCAAUUUUUGGCAGUCUCUACGGGGA